ACGGUGCGUGUGCGUGUGUGUGUGUGUGUGGGCACGCCUCUCGGUGCGUGGCAGCUCAGGGCCCAGUACACACGCCGACUCUCUCUGGGUGGAGGCGAAGCCGCCCGCCGCUCUCUAUCCCUGCCAAAUGCGGAGCCACCUCUGGUGGUGACAGGGUGAGGCGCCUACGACCUGGGGCGAGGUGAGAGCGAUGUGUCGCUGCUGGUGUCGGAUAGCAGGUCCUGGACGGCGUUGCGUCUGAGCGACCUGCGACCGUGGGCACACGUGUGCCAUCCACAUGAUGGGCAGAGUGUCCGCGUCGCUGGAACGCACCCCACCACCCGACCCUCGCACUGCCCGCUGGUGUGGGGAGCCCGAGGCCCCUCCGAGGGGGCUGCAUCACGUGGCGACCGGCAUGAUGUGGGAGCGGCUGUGAGGCGACCUGCGCGAUGCGGCGGCGGUGGUGGUGGUCGGGGCUUGAGGCGGAGGCGGUGCUGAGAUGACUGGGCCGACGCAUUGCUGUACCGCGUGCGCGCACCGCUGCUUCGCAGGGCGGGAUGGGGCCUGCGACAUGCCGGGGUGGGGUGGCGCUGGAGCUCGUGUUGGACGGCAGAGGGCGGGCACCCGCUGGGAAGGAAAACAGACGCUUUUCGUGCACUGGAGUGGAGGAAGCGACAACAAAAGAAAACAAUGCGAUGAGUGUCGGUUAUCGUCAUGCUUGGUCAAGGACGCGUUCCAGCUGAUGGUGUGUGCAUGAAGGCAAGGGAAGAGAGGCGGAAGCCAUGGACCACGUUAGAGUCUUCCGAGUUAUCAGUAGCCGAUACGUUUGCGCAAGACAACGUCUUGCCUGUGUGUCGGCACGCACCCACGCACUCACCCGAGCCACCGGUGCUCGCAUGCUUCCUUCAAUGCCCCUUCUGUCCUUUUCGCGCCCAUCAUGUCGUGCGUCUGUGCUGUCUUGCCAGUUACUCUAACUUCUCUGUCUUUGUCCGACACUCUUUGUUUCUCGUACCCUCACUCGCACUGCGCAUCCCACCUCACUGUUGAG
rnacentral:misc_RNA from 1 species